CGGAGUUCAGUGGCGGACGGGUGAGUAACGCGUGAGAAUCUAGCUACAGGUUGGGGACAACCACUGGAAACGGUGGCUAAUACCGAAUAAGCCGAAAGGUGAAAGAUUAAUUGCCUGGAGAUGAGCUCGCGUCUGAUUAGCUAGUUGGUAGGGUAAAGGCCUACCAAGGCAUCGAUCAGUAGCUGGUCUGAGAGGACGAUCAGCCACACUGGGACUGAGACACGGCCCAGACUCCUACGGGAGGCAGCAGUGGGGAAUUUUCCGCAAUGGGCGAAAGCCUGACGAAGCAAUACCGCGUGAGGGAGGAAGGCUCUUGGGUCGUAAACCUCUUUUCUCAGGGAAGAACAAAAUGACGGUACCUGAGGAAUAAGCAUCGGCUAACUCCGUGCCAGCAGCCGCGGUAAUACGGAGGAUGCAAGCGUUAUCCGGAAUGAUUGGGCGUAAAGCGUCCGCAGGUGGCAGUGUAAGUCUGCUGUCA
rnacentral:rRNA from 1 species